UUUGAUAACUGAAUUUUGUUGUUGAGUCCAUUACGUCAUUUACGUUAGUACUGAGUUACGACUCUUAUA